rnacentral:rRNA from 1 species
UACGUAGGGUGCAAGCGUUAAUCGGAAUUACUGGGCGUAAAGCGUGCGCAGGCGGUUUUGUAAGUUUGUCGUGAAAUCCCCGGGCUCAACCUGGGAAUGGCGAUGAAGACUGCAAGGCUAGAAUCUGGCAGAGGGGGGGUAGAAUUCCACGUGUAGCGGUGAAAUGCGUAGAGAUGUGGAGGAACACCAAUGGCGAAGGCAGCCUUCUGGGCCAACACUGACGCUCAUGCACGAAAGCGUGGGGAGCAAACAGG